rnacentral:rRNA from 1 species
GAUGAACGCUGGCGGCGUGCCUAAUACAUGCAAGUCGAGCGAACAGACGAGGAGCUUGCUCCUCUGACGUUAGCGGCGGACGGGUGAGUAACACGUGGAUAACCUACCUAUAAGACUGGGAUAACUUCGGGAAACCGGAGCUAAUACCGGAUAAUAUAUUGAACCGCAUGGUUCAAUAGUGAAAGGCGGUUUUGCUGUCACUUAUAGAUGGAUCCGCGCCGCAUUAGCUAGUUGGUAAGGUAACGGCUUACCAAGGCGACGAUGCGUAGCCGACCUGAGAGGGUGAUCGGCCACACUGGAGCUGCGCCACGGUCCAGACUCCUGCGGGAGGCCGCAGUAGGGAAUCUUCCGCAAUAGGCGGAAGCCUGGCGGAGCAACGCCGCGUGAGUGAUGGAGGUCUUCGGAUCGUAAAACUCUGUUAUUAGGGAAGAACAAAUGUGUAAGUAACUAUGCACGUCUUGACGGUACCUAAUCAGAAAGCCACGGCUAACUACGUG